rnacentral:rRNA from 1 species
CAGAGGGUGCAAGCGUUAAUCGGAAUUACUGGGCGUAAAGCGCGCGUAGGUGGUUUGUUAAGUUGGAUGUGAAAGCCCCGGGCUCAACCUGGGAACUGCAUUCAAAACUGACAAGCUAGAGUAUGGUAGAGGGUGGUGGAAUUUCCUGUGUAGCGGUGAAAUGCGUAGAUAUAGGAAGGAACACCAGUGGCGAAGGCGACCACCUGGACUGAUACUGACACUGAGGUGCGAAAGCGUGGGGAGCAAACAGGGUUAGAUACCCUGGUAGUCCACGCCGUAAACGAUGUCAACUAGCCGUUGGGAGCCUUGAGCUCUUAGUGGCGCAGCUAACGCAUUAAGUUGACCGCCUGGGGAGUACGGCCGCAAGGUUA